rnacentral:lncRNA from 1 species
AAGCCCCGAGAGAGGCGGGGCGGGGAGGCGCCGGCCCUUUCCGCGCCGCGCUGCCCGCCGGGAGCUGUAGUCCUGCCGCCGCCGUGGCCGCCCCGUGGAGCAGGGCAGAGGGACUCGGUGUCCCGGCGCGCCGCGGGCCGUGGGCGGAGGUGGGCAAGGCGGGCAAGGCGGGCGGCUGCUGUGGAAGUGUGGGGCUGUGCGGUGUCGGGAGCAGCGCCAGGAUGGAGGAGCCCGCUGGGAUCGUUCCCAUCCGGAGGGACGUCAUGCUGCCCGAGUCGUGCUGUGAUCGCGUCACCGUAACACACCUGCACUAAAUUUGCUGGGCAUUUGGAAAAGCGUAUUUAGAGUUGUUCCUGGGCCUACAUCAAAGACCUC